GCCCGUCACACCAUGGGAGUGGGUUGCACCAGAAGUAGAUAGCUUAACCUUCGGGAGGGCGUUUACCACGGUGUGAUUCAUGACUGGGGUGAAGUCGUAACAAGGUAACCCUAGGGGAACCUGGGGUUGGAUCACCUCCUUACCUUAA
rnacentral:rRNA from 1 species